rnacentral:misc_RNA from 1 species
UUCAAACUUACCCAUUUUGAGGAGGUAUUUACAACUCACCAUUGGAUGGUCCGCAUUUACAAAUUGAAACCUCCUAGGAACAGGAUCCGAGGGAAGACCAAAAAACCAAGAUCGAAAACAAGCUCAACAACUAGAACAAAAAGAAGUGCAACUACUAAGAGGAAUCCGUGGCAUUAGGUAUCAUUUUACACGUUAGGUAUCAUUUUACAGGUUAAUGUUCUUAGAUGACUGUAUUUCAUAUAUAAUUUGCACUCGAGCAUUUGGAGAGGGAUCACGCAGGCAUAUAUUCUGUCAUUUUUCCUUGCGAGAUGCAAAUAGUCAGUCAAAGAUUUUGCUUUCUUUUUAAAAUCUUGUGUUUUCUCUCAACGUUUUGCUGCAACAACUACACAUCAUUUUUGGAUUAAUAGCUUUUAAUUUACUGAGCAAUGCCAAAUUAGAUUAUCUACAA